rnacentral:tRNA from 1 species
UCCCUGAUAGCUCCACUGGUAAAGAAUCUGUCUGCAACGCAGGAGACCCUGGUUCAAUUCCUGGUUGGGAAG